GAUUAAGUUAUUAAGGGCGCACGGUGGAUGCCUUGGCACUAGAAGCCGAUGAAGGACGUUACUAACGACGAUAUGCUUUGGGGAGCUGUAAGUAAGCUUUGAUCCAGAGAUUUCCGAAUGGGGAAACCCAGCAUGAGUUAUGUCAUGUUAUCGAUAUGUGAAUACAUAGCAUAUCAGAAGGCACACCCGGAGAACUGAAACAUCUUAGUACCCGGAGGAAGAGAAAGAAAAUUCGAUUCCCUUAGUAGCGGCGAGCGAAACGGGAAGAGCCCAAACCAACAAGCUUGCUUGUUGGGGUUGUAGGACACUCUAUACGGAGUUACAAAGGACGACAUUAGACGAAUCAUCUGGAAAGAUGAAUCAAAGAAGGUAAUAAUCCUGUAGUCGAAAAUGUUGUCUCUCUUGAGUGGAUCCUGAGUACGACGGAGCACGUGAAAUUCCGUCGGAAUCUGGGAGGACCAUCUCCUAAGGCUAAAUACUCUCUAGUGACCGAUAGUGAACCAGUACCGUGAGGGAAAGGUGAAAAGCACCCCGGAAGGGGAGUGAAAUAGAACCUGAAACCGUGUGCUUACAAGUAGUCAGAGCCCGUUAAUGGGUGAUGGCGUGCCUUUUGUAGAAUGAACCGGCGAGUUACGAUUUGAUGCAAGGUUAAGCAGUAAAUGUGGAGCCGUAGCGAAAGCGAGUCUGAAUAGGGCGUUUAGUAUUUGGUCGUAGACCCGAAACCAGGUGAUCUACCCUUGGUCAGGUUGAAGUUCAGGUAACACUGAAUGGAGGACCGAACCGACUUACGUUGAAAAGUGAGCGGAUGAACUGAGGGUAGCGGAGAAAUUCCAAUCGAACCUGGAGAUAGCUGGUUCUCUCCGAAAUAGCUUUAGGGCUAGCCUCAAGUGAUGAUUAUUGGAGGUAGAGCACUGUUUGGACGAGGGGCCCCUCUCGGGUUACCGAAUUCAGACAAACUCCGAAUGCCAAUUAAUUUAACUUGGGAGUCAGAACAUGGGUGAUAAGGUCCGUGUUCGAAAGGGAAACAGCCCAGACCACCAGCUAAGGUCCCAAAAUAUAUGUUAAGUGGAAAAGGAUGUGGCGUUGCCCAGACAACUAGGAUGUUGGCUUAGAAGCAGCCAUCAUUUAAAGAGUGCGUAAUAGCUCACUAGUCGAGUGACACUGCGCCGAAAAUGUACCGGGGCUAAACAUAUUACCGAAGCUGUGGAUUGUCCUUUGGACAAUGGUAGGAGAGCGUUCUAAGGGCGUUGAAGCAUGAUCGUAAGGACAUGUGGAGCGCUUAGAAGUGAGAAUGCCGGUGUGAGUAGCGAAAGACGGGUGAGAAUCCCGUCCACCGAUUGACUAAGGUUUCCAGAGGAAGGCUCGUCCGCUCUGGGUUAGUCGGGUCCUAAGCUGAGGCCGACAGGCGUAGGCGAUGGAUAACAGGUUGAUAUUCCUGUACCACCUAUAAUCGUUUUAAUCGAUGGGGGGACGCAGUAGGAUAGGCGAAGCGUGCGAUUGGAUUGCACGUCUAAGCAGUAAGGCUGAGUAUUAGGCAAAUCCGGUACUCGUUAAGGCUGAGCUGUGAUGGGGAGAAGACAUUGAGUCUUCGAGUCGUUGAUUUCACACUGCCGAGAAAAGCCUCUAGAUAGAAAAUAGGUGCCCGUACCGCAAACCGACACAGGUAGUCAAGAUGAGAAUUCUAAGGUGAGCGAGCGAACUCUCGUUAAGGAACUCGGCAAAAUGACCCCGUAACUUCGGGAGAAGGGGUGCUCUUUAGGGUUAACGCCCAGAAGAGCCGCAGUGAAUAGGCCCAAGCGACUGUUUAUCAAAAACACAGGUCUCUGCUAAACCGUAAGGUGAUGUAUAGGGGCUGACGCCUGCCCGGUGCUGGAAGGUUAAGAGGAGUGGUUAGCUUCUGCGAAGCUACGAAUCGAAGCCCCAGUAAACGGCGGCCGUAACUAUAACGGUCCUAAGGUAGCGAAAUUCCUUGUCGGGUAAGUUCCGACCCGCACGAAAGGCGUAACGAUUUGGGCACUGUCUCAACGAGAGACUCGGUGAAAUCAUAGUACCUGUGAAGAUGCAGGUUACCCGCGACAGGACGGAAAGACCCCGUGGAGCUUUACUGUAGCCUGAUAUUGAAAUUCGGCACAGCUUGUACAGGAUAGGUAGGAGCCUUUGAAACGUGAGCGCUAGCUUACGUGGAGGCGCUGGUGGGAUACUACCCUAGCUGUGUUGGCUUUCUAACCCGCACCACUUAUCGUGGUGGGAGACAGUGUCAGGCGGGCAGUUUGACUGGGGCGGUCGCCUCCUAAAAGGUAACGGAGGCGCUCAAAGGUUCCCUCAGAAUGGUUGGAAAUCAUUCAUAGAGUGUAAAGGCAUAAGGGAGCUUGACUGCGAGACCUACAAGUCGAGCAGGGUCGAAAGACGGACUUAGUGAUCCGGUGGUUCCGCAUGGAAGGGCCAUCGCUCAACGGAUAAAAGCUACCCCGGGGAUAACAGGCUUAUCUCCCCCAAGAGUUCUCAUCGACGGGGAGGUUUGGCACCUCGAUGUCGGCUCAUCGCAUCCUGGGGCUGUAGUCGGUCCCAAGGGUUGGGCUGUUCGCCCAUUAAAGCGGUACGCGAGCUGGGUUCAGAACGUCGUGAGACAGUUCGGUCCCUAUCCGUCGUGGGCGUAGGAAAUUUGAGAGGAGCUGUCCUUAGUACGAGAGGACCGGGAUGGACAUACCUCUGGUGUACCAGUUGUCGUGCCAACGGCAUAGCUGGGUAGCUAUGUGUGGACGGGAUAAGUGCUGAAAGCAUCUAAGCAUGAAGCCCCCCUCAAGAUGAGAUUUCCCAACUUCGGUUAUAAGAUCCCUCAAAGAUGAUGAGGUUAAUAGGUUCGAGGUGGAAGCAUGGUGACAUGUGGAGCUGACGAAUACUAAUCGAUCGAAGACUUAAUCAA
rnacentral:rRNA from 1 species